AUUGCGCCCACAGUCAGGAAGUGGAGAAUGAUGAUGGCUGGUCCGAGGCUGGAUUUCUCCUGUCGAUGCAGUCCAAGACCUCACCCCCUCCAACUGUACCAUCCACAGAAAUUGGAUCAAUGUAUUCCAGCAGAGGACAGACUUUGUCUUUAUCUUUAGAUACAGAUUCCCCAAUCAUAGUUUAUUAAUAAACAUCUAACAAGAUACCAUAUUGAGGAUUGGAGAGGUGGCUCAAUGGUUUAGACACUCGCUGCUUUUCCAGAGAACUCGGAUUUAAUUCCCAGCACCCACAUGGCAGCACCGUCUGCAGCUCCAGUUCUGAGGAAUCCGACACCCUCACAGACAAACAUGCAGGCAAAGCAUCAAUGCACAUAAAAAAUAAAUUGUUUAAAAAA